CAUCGUGAGAAAUUAAAAGUAUAUUAAGAUAUGUAAUGUAUAUAUGGAUGUGUGGGAAUGUUGUUUUAAUUUAGAUGAGGAAACCAAAUUACAAGUGCAGCGAAUUUAGCUGAAGAAGUGUGAAAUGAGUGGCGUGGCCCCAAGGUUCCUCUUCUUCCUCUCCACUCCCCUCCCUCUGCUCCGCCGCCACCACCACUUCAACCUCUUUCUCCUCUCUUCCCAUUCCCUCCGCCUCUCUGCUUCACCUUCUUCCUUCUCUUUCUCAUCUUCACCUUUGCCACUCAAACUCAGAGCCUCCCAGUUUUCCUAUGCCUACUCAUCUCCCUGCCCUGAGUACUCCUCUUUCCUCUCUCACAUAUCCUCCGCCGGCUACCUCUCCUCCCUCCCCGAUGAAGCCUUCACCGCCGCCGCCCAACAUCUCUCCUACUCCUUUCUCCGCGACGCCACCGCUUGCUUGGCCUUCGCACGCGACCGCCCUAACCUUCUCAGGUUGCUUUCUACGAGACAUAUUGCGGCCGUGGUUGAGCACGGCUCCCCCUUUCUCUUCCGCGAUGCAGAUGAUUCCGUCAGGAAGAUGAAGUCCUUUCUGUCCAACGGUGACGCCAAUUGCAUCGAAACCCAGCUGUGCUCAAUAUGUUCUUCACAGGUGUUGGACACUGAUAGAGCAAAUACGGUUGACCUAAUGAAGUUUUUGCUGAGCUAUGCGAGUGAUCCAUAUGUCCCUUCAGAAGGGAACAGUCUCAAUGAAAGAAAUCUUCUUGAAUCAUCUGUCAGAAAUCUCUUUGAUGAACUUUUCAAACUGAGUUAUAGUGCACCUGGAUCAAAUUCUUUUGAUUCAGUGCAAAGUCAAAUGGCUGGAAGAUUUGGAUAUACAAAGCCUCCUGCACAAAAGAUUGAAAUGAAGAGGGGUGAUUGGAUUUGCUCAAGGUGUAAUUUCAUGAAUUUUGCCCGAAACAUCAAAUGUCUUGAGUGUGAUGAAGCAAGGCCAAAAAGGCAACUCGCUGGAGGUGAAUGGGAAUGUCCUCAGUGUGAUUUCUUUAACUAUGGGAGGAACAUGAGUUGCUUAAGGUGUGAUUGCAAGCGACCUGGACAAAUAUCUUUGGGUGCCAUCAAUACCAUGUCAAAUAAGGAGUACGAAAAUGGAAACAAUCCUAAUACUUCAGAUAUUGAUCCUAGGUUAGCUGCUAAUGAAGAAAAGGCACAGCGUUGGUUUAGCAAGGUUUCUCAACUAGACAGCAGUGCUGAUAUUAACAGUGUGGUUGCAGAUGAAGAUUUUCCUGAAAUAAUGCCACUGAGGAAAGGAGUUAAUAGAUUUGUUGUGAGCACAAGAAAGACUCCACUGGAGAGGAGGUUGGCUAACGCUCAAUAUAAGAGAAACUUGUCUAAUUAUGACAUUUCUGGGACUGAGGAUUUUAAUGUUGGGGAGCCAAUCAAGUCCCAUGACAGUCUGGAUGACAUGCUAGGUCAUUCAGCUGGCCUUCCUCAAUAUGGCAAUAACAACAUUGUUUCUGAACAAAAUGCUGGCGGAGACAGGCAACCUUCAUUUGCUAGCUAUAGCAAUACUUCACAUUAUAAAAAUGUUCAAGGGAACUACACUAGUACUGUUUCUCCCAGUCCAUUGUCUGCAGAUUCACUUGGCCCGAAGUCUGAGAACUUGCUAUCAGACGAGAGCAAAAAUGUGGUGUUAGACACUGAUAUCGGAUAUGCUAGUUUGGGAGACAGUUCACAAGAUUCUAAGAAUUCUACAAAUAUCACAGAGGAUAAGAAGAAAGAACAAGCUGAAAAAUCUGAGAAAUGGUUAAGAAAGAUUGCUGAGCUGAAUGAUUUUCCAGAUGUGACAAGUGCAAUAUCCGAUGAGGAUUUCCCUGAAAUAAUGCCCAUGCGUAAUGGAGAAAAUCGAUUUGUUGUUAGCAAGAAAAAAGAUCGUUCUUUAACAACACCAGCAUAUAAGAGACAAGUGGCAAUGGAACAAGCUAGCAAAACCAACUUUGUUCCGUUUGUCCCCUUCCCCCCAGAUUACUUUGCUAAAAAGGACAAGCCGCAGGCAGAUGGAACAGAUUCAAUGGAUAGGUCCAAUGAUGGUACAUCUUCCAUUUCUGAGGUGGCAGAGAAGGCUUCAGAGAUAUCGGAUGAUACUAGAGCUCAACCAGAACAGAGUCCAAAGUCUUCUGAACAGAGCUCAAAUAACAAUGAUAUUGGCUCUAUGUCUUGGUCAGGAACCAGUGGAAAUUCAAGGCAGAGUUUCAAUCAAGAUCACGUUCCAAAUUUGACUGGGAGUUCAUCCCCAGUUCCAACAUCUGACAACCAGAGUGGUAAAGCAGAGUGGACAGGGAAGAGUUUGGAGGGGUCUGCCGUGAAGGAACCAGAUCCUUUGGACAUGUCAGAGGAGGCAAAGGCAGAGAGGUGGUUCAGGCGUGUUGCACAAAUUAAGGAUAUAUCUGAACUCAGUCAGAUUCCAGAUGAAGAUUUUCCUUCAAUAAUGCCUAUGCGCAAAGGGGUGAACAGAUUUGUUGUAGGCAAGAGGAAAACUCCAUUGGAAAGGAGAUUGACAUCUCAGCAAUACAGAAGAAAUCUACCAACUGCCUUUGUUUCACUCCCAUAUAAUAUUUUCACGUCAUAAAUAGUAGUCUACAGGUGUACCAUUUUAUUCAGACUUCACCUAAGCCAAACCCCUGAAGCUAAACAUAUCCAUGCGCAUCCAUAGAAUGAUGUUUUUACUGUAAAACUUGGCGAUCUUGGCACCUAUGUAUUGAACAAACAAACACCAAAUCGACAACUUUGACUGUCUUCUGCAGAGGUAUCGUAUGUUAUCUGUCUAAUUCUGCUCAAUUUUUGACCUAGGUUUUUUUAAGGUUUUAGUCUCUAGAUAUGUGUGUUCAUGUAUUAAAUUUCAUGUGAAUGAAUUUUACAGCAGUCGAAUAUAUAGAAUUCUUUAGUAUCUUUAUGUGUGAGAAUGAACUUGGAAAAAAGCGAAUAUUGGUGAUAACCAACCAAAUGGUGUUAAAAACAUUCUCUUUAAAAAUAAUUGUUGUAACACACUUUCUACUAUUGGUUAAAAUUUAUCGAAAAUUAUAAAAUUAUGAGUUUGACUCCUUAACUAAAAAAUCGGAAUAACAAUAUUGUGAUUUUCCAUCAAUUUGAGUUAAUAAUAGUCUGUUAGAGAGUGUAGGGAUCUAUGCAAAGUUUUAUGACAGGGUACAGGUUGUCUUUAAGGAAUAAAAAACAAAUAACCCACUUUAUAAAUUGAGAUCAGAUAGGAGUACCAUCGUUUAUGAUAUAGGUACACUCCUUUGUAUGUCACAGAUGCUGUUACCGUGUGUAUAAUCAUUCUGGCCAAUCUUGUCAGUUACUACCACAACGGAUGGUAUCUUAUAGUCAUCUUAUUUUUUUAUUUUCAAUGUUCAUUGUUAGUAUUAUUAUGUUAUUGGAAAGAGUUAAACCCAUAAUCUCUUCUAUCUUGUCUUCCAACUUACUAAGCUAAUCUUUUAACUCUCAAGUUAGUGUCAGUGAAGGAAGUUGAACUUACAACCUUUUUUAUUCUCUCUUUUAACUUUACCACUAAGUCAACUUCAUAUAUUUGUCUCCCUGCAUUAUCUUCUUCAGUGUAGUGUAGAACAUAUUCAAUAUGAAGUGAUACCGUGAAUGAUUGUAUCAGUGAUAUUUUUGCGAACUUUAUGUGAUUCCAAGACUUCAAAUACAGUUUUAUUUUGCUAGAAUAACUUUAUGCUACUUCUGUUUAUUUACAUAAUCUAUGAUCUCUUGAAAAACAUGUCUUGUGCACUGUGCACUGGUUUAUAGACAGAACAAAGCAAGCUUGUAUAAAGUUUGGAAGGUGAGUUGUGAUGAAUUUCCCAAGCUGUUGAGAAGAUACCGUCUAAUCUUUAUUUAUUUUUUAUUUAGAAGACAGAAGUUAAUAUAUGACACCUUCACUGUUCAGUUAGACCACUAAAUAAUCAGAAAAAAUUAAUAAUAAUUAGCAAUUUCUCCUCUGAAGUUAUACUAUUUUUUCAAUUUA